ensembl:lncRNA
GUGACGCUAACCCGUUUAAGUGGAAGUAAUGAACUUGUUUCCGUCCGUGUGUUUGGCUCGGAGGCCGGUUAGACUCUGUGUGAUGAGUAAUGAACAGUGCUUUCUGAGGAAAUAUCCACCCAGACGCUCUCGGCGCUUUGAUUCACGUCAGCCGCGUUCACACUGCAGCUCACACAGUUUGGUUUUUACAGGUGUUAGUGAUAACUGAAUUUACAUUAAACCUGUCGAGUGUGAACAGAGCAUUGCAUACAUUUUAAGCAUUGCAUAUUUGCAUAAAGUUAAAAACUAUUUUUUAACUUUGUUGCAGUACAUCACAUCACACUGUUGUCACUGUGGCCCAGAAAGUGCCAACUCUCAUGAAACUGUGUGUCUCUCUUCUUCUGAAGUGAGAUGGAGUGUCUGCUGUUCUUGGAAGUUAACAUGACGUCAUUUCCCUGCGGCUUCAUCUGAAAUUCACUGCCAGAGCUCAUGAACAUCCGGAGUGGCCCUUUUCCAGAGGAAUGUAAAUGCUUACAGAUGCUUUAUCCAGUUGCAGAUCAUAAGAUGAGGCUUGGAAGGUGGAAGCCGGUUUUCUUCAGAGCUGACAGGAGGCUCAUGCAGCUUCUUCUGAUUUCGGACGCAGUGUGAGUCUAACAUGAGGAAAUGAUUAUGUAGCAGAACUGGACUGAAAGCUCUGUGAACAAGUGCUGUAAUCCCCUGCUAAGAAGAAGGACAAGAAAGAAAAGAGAGGAAGUGAAAAUCAAUGGAAGCUAGAGAGUUUCCGCUGCUAAUGAACAAGAGCU